rnacentral:rRNA from 1 species
CCUGCCCUCAGGAUGGGGACAACAGCUGGAAACGGCUGCUAAUACCGAAUACGAUCAAUCGGCCGCAUGGCCGGAUGAUGAAAGGAUGGCCUCUAUAUAUAAGCUAUCGCCGGAGGAGGGGUUUGCGUCUGAUUAGCUAGUUGGAGGGGUAACGGCCCACCAAGGCGACGAUCAGUAGCCGGUCUGAGAGGACGAACGGCCACAUUGGAACUGAGACACGGUCCAGACUCCUACGGGAGGCAGCAGUGGGGAAUCUUCCGCAAUGGGCGAAAGCCUGACGGAGCAACGCCGCGUGAGUGAAGACGGCCUUCGGGUUGUAAAGCUCUGUUAUAUGGGACGAACGUAUCUAUGGCCAAUACCCAUAGAUAGUGACGGUACCGUAAGAGAAAGCCACGGCUAACUACGUGCCAGCAGCCGCGGUAAUACGUAGGUGGCAAGCGUUGUCCGGAAUUAUUGGGCGUAAAGGGCGCGCAGGCGGCCUGUCAAGUCUGUCUUAAAAGUGCGGGGCUCAACCCCGUGAUGGGACGGAAACUGGCAGGCUGGAGUGUCGGAGAGGAAAGCAGAAUUCCUAGUGUAGCGGUGAAAUGCGUAGAUAUUAGGAGGAAUACCAGUGGCGAAAGCGGCUUUCUGGACGACAACUGACGCUGAGGCGCGAAAGCCAGGGGAGCAAACGGGAUUAGAUACCCCGGUAGUCCUGGCCGUAAACGAUGGGUACUAGGUGUAGGAGGUAUCGACCCCUUCUGUGCCGGAGUU